rnacentral:rRNA from 1 species
UGGCGCACGGGUGAGUAACACGUGGGUAACCUGCCCUUGAGUUCGGGAUACCCCCUCGAAAGGGGGGCUAAUACCGGAUACGUUCCUUGGAUCGAAAGGUCUGAGGAGGAAAGGUGGCGAAAGCUGCCGCUCUUGGAGGGGCUCGCGGCCUAUCAGCUAGUUGGCGGGGUAACGGCCCACCAAGGCUAUGACGGGUAGCUGGUCUGAGAGGACGACCAGCCACACGGGGACUGAGACACGGCCCCG